rnacentral:rRNA from 1 species
UACGUAGGCAGCAAGCGUUGUUCGGAUUCAUUGGGCGUAAAGGGUGCGUAGGUGGCGCCAUAAGUCAGGUGUGAAAUCUCGGGGCUCAACCCCGAAACUGCACUUGAUACUGUGGUGCUCGAGUACUGGAGAGGAGAUUGGAAUUUACGGUGUAGCAGUGAAAUGCGUAGAUAUCGUAAGGAAGACCAGUGGCGAAGGCGAGUCCCUGGACGACUCCUGACACUGAGGCACGAAAGCUAGGGGAGCAAACAGG